rnacentral:rRNA from 1 species
GUGUCAGCAGCCGCGGUAAUACGAAGGACCCGAGCGUUAUCCGGAUUUAUUGGGUUUAAAGGGUGCGUAGGCGGACACGCAAGUCAGUGGUGAAAUCUCCCAGCUUAACUGGGAAACUGCCAUUGAAACUAUGUGUCUUGAGUACAUUUGAGGCGGGCGGAAUGUGUCAUGUAGAGGUGAAAUUCUUAGAUAUGACACAGAACACCAAUUGCGAAGGCAGCUCGCUAAACUGUAACUGACGCUGAGGCACGAAAGCGUGGGGAUCAAACAGGAUUAGAAACCCGCGUAGUCC